rnacentral:tRNA from 1 species
AAGAAGUUAGUUAAAAUAUAACAUUAGAAUGUCAACCUAAAAUUAUUUAAUAAAAUACUUCUUU